rnacentral:rRNA from 1 species
UGCCAGCCGCCGCGGUAAUACGGAGGGUGCAAGCGUUAUCCGGAUUUAUUGGGUUUAAAGGGCGCGUAGGCGGACUUUCAAGUCGGAUGUGAAAUCCACAGGCUUAACUUGUGGCUUGCAUUCGAUACUGUUGGUCUUGAGUAUAUCAGAGGAAAGCGGAAUUCCAGGUGUAGCGGUGAAAUGCGUAGAUAUCUGGAAGAACACCAGUAGCGAAGGCGGCUUUCUGGGGUAAUACUGACGCUGAAGCGCGAAGGCUAGGGGAGCAAACAGGAUUAGAUA